rnacentral:misc_RNA from 1 species
GAAAUUCACAAAAUCGCAAGUCUUUUUGGCCUACAAGAAAUAUCAUGCGAACAAGCUUUUCACACCCUUUACCCAUUGCCACCUUGUAGAUCAUGAUGGUUUUACUUUCCUAGUGAAGUGGACAACUGUGCUGAGGAAGUUCGUUGAACUCCCAGAACCAGCGUCAUCAGUAUCGUGAAGUAUAUGUAGGAGUGCUCUGGUAUAGAUAUUCUCCCAAAGGUUACUUGUGUAUUGAGCUGGCUUUUUUGGUUUUCCAUUUUCAAAUCGUUACUUCUCUCAAACUUCAAUUUCAAGUUCAUUAACUUGAAGGGCAAGUAGAUACUUGUCAGUAUUUAUAUAACAAUGAUCUAUUGCAUCAGAGUGAUUGAUCAAUUAAGAAAUAUUUGUUCCCUUUUCUGUCUCCUUUCUGUUCCUCCUCUUUUUCUCUCAACUUCUCCCAUUUCUCAUACUUUCUGAGUUACCAAACAGAGUUGAAGACUUCAUCUGCCAUAUCAUCUUUCUCUGUAUUCUAAUGCAUCAUCUCAUAUUGCCACAUGAAAACAAAAUAAACAAAUAAAGAAACAAAUGUUAUGCGAUGAUUUGACAUGAUGCAUUUUUGAAGAAAAUAUCACUGCUCAAUGCAUGAAAAUGCAAAUAAUUUUGCUCUGCCAAGCCAAAAACUUUAUUAAUAUACUGCAAUUGAAAUAAGAUGGAUAUAUAAACUGCCUAAGGAAAGAUUACAUAGUAAUAGCAAGAAGCAACGGUGAGAGAUGGACUUUAAAAGAGCACAAGAGAAGGACUACAGCUGAAAUAAAUGGAGGCAACAGCCAAUGAUAGAGGCAUCAUCCAUAUUUUCAGUGAAUGCCAAUGCCUCCACCAUUUUCUUCUUUUUUCAGUGAGGGCGGUAUAAACCCAUUUGCUCGACUAUAAGUUACGUCCUUGUGGGUAUAUAUCACCCCUUUAUCACCAUCCACUACCUGUCCACUACCCCUUAGAAUCCAUCUUGUUGUUAGC